rnacentral:lncRNA from 1 species
AUUCAACGCGCGAAGAGGUCGUUUCGAGAGACAAGGGCAUAGCAAGCUAGAGUUUUGGCCGGUUUGAGCUGAGUAGUGAUUGUAAUGAUGUCCUGAGGGUUUGAAACUCUGGAUUGCACAAUAUAGUGCUAUAUUGAGGUAAGACACGUGCUUAAUGACGAGCGGGGGGUCAUUUAAUAUUUUGAAUUGUGACCUGGUCCGUCCCGAUUGAUGUUUUACCGCGUAUUUGACUAAUACUUUGUUUGUUUUCACUAUGACUUGGGCUUAUUGCUAUAUUUGGGCUUAAUGCCGAUUAUUUGAAUCCUUUGUGGACUUUUAUCACUGUUUCCUCACUAUUGUGAUAUAUUACCUGAACUCAGUCCCAUUAAAUUACACUAUUUUACAAACUCAGCUGUUUUUACUCGAAUUUGAGACUUAAAUAAUAUGUACAAAUGUUGUUUGAGCUGAGCACUAUUAUUUUACUGAUACCCGAGGGGCUUGUGAUGAUUUUAUUGAAUGAGUGAGGCCGAGGGCCAUAUGUGAGAAUAUGCCAAGUGAUAUGAGGCCGGGAGCCUGAGUUGUUUGAUAUGCCACGAGAUGGCUUGAUAUAACGCUUGGGCUGUAAGGGGACCCUCCGGAGUCUACACCUCCACAGUGAGCACAGAUACCCAUAUGAUAUUGUGAGUGAGCCCGAGGGGCUGAUAUUAUACUGAGUGACUGAGAGUGAGCCCGAGGAACUGAUACUGUACUGAGAGGUUGAUAUUGAGCCCGAGGGGCAAAUUUCUGUUUAUUACUCACUUCUUGGAAAUACCCAUUUUUAAUUGUUAUAAAAGAGAUUUUAUUCGAUUCUUCAUUGUCUUACGGUUUUAAUGAUUUUUUACUUCCUUAAUAUAGUAUUAUCUUGUGCCAUAUGUGAUUUCGAGCUUUCAGUCAUUAUUUAUAUUAUUACUCACUGGGUCGAAGUACUCGCAUUACCCCCUGCACCGUAUGUGCAGAUACAUGCAUUGCAGAGUCCGUUCCUGAGCAUUGAUCUUCUGAGUUCAGGCGGUGAUUGGAGACUUCGAGGUAGAUGUCAGCGUCCACAGCCCUGAGCCUCCCCUAUCUUGUCCUUUAUGUUUUCUUUUAAAUUAUGUUAUACCGAAUUUCGUACUUCAUAGAUUUGUACUGGAUUCUCCUUAGUUGCUCGUGACUUGUGACACACCGGUUUGGGCUGUGUCGGGAUGGUUUUCUAUGUUUUAUCACUUUCUUCUGCAUUUGUGAUUAUAAUAUUCAUGUUUUAGGCUUAUAUAUAUCAAUUAACUAUUAAAAGAGGUGUUUUAUUCUGUUAGCUGGCCUUGUCUUCAUGAGAGGCGCCAUUAUGACGGGUUCAGGAAUUGGGUUGUGACAAGUUGGUAUCAGAGCGUAGGUUACAUAGGUCUCACGAGUCAUGAGCAGUUUUAGUAGAGUCUCGUGGAUCGGUACGGAGACGUCGAUAUUAAUCCUCGAGAGGGUGCGGAACAUUUAGGAAAUUCUUUUUCAUAUUCUUGAAAUUCUUAUCAUGCGACUUUGUUGAUCCGAGAACUAAACUUCUAUAUUCUAUUAUCUCAUAGAUGGCGAGGAUUCACGCUACCGGAUGAGGCGGACGACCACCAGUACCACCCACUGAGGUCGCGGUCGUGGUAGAGGCCCUAGCUCAGAUCUUAUUAGUUUGUACUGGCCUGGCUUAGGCAGUUUCAGCCACUACCGCAGCAGCAACUUCAUAGGCUGGGGGAGGCAAUUAGACCCCCGUUGCUCGCAUACCUAAGCAGGUAGUGUAGGGAUUGCAGACACCGGGAGCACCUCCCGCUCAGCCGAUUCCACCAGUUUAGGACUUCGUGGUUCCAGCUAUGCCAUAUGAUGAGUAGCGUCGUCUUGAGAGGUUUGGUAGGCUCCAACCUCCUUCAUUUAUUGGUGCUCAGGGCGAGGAUGCCCAGGGUUUUCUCGACAAGUGUUAGCAUGUGCUUCGAACAACAAGGAUUCUUGAGUCUACUGGUACGACAUUCACCACCUUUCAGUUCCCUGGGGCUGCCUUCACCUGGUGGGAGGCGUAUGAGAGGCGUUGGCUAGCAGGUGCAGCGCC